rnacentral:rRNA from 1 species
AUUGAACGCUGGCGGCAGGCUUAACACAUGCAAGUCGAGCGGAGCUGCGGACGGGUGAGUAAUGACUAGGAAUCUGCCUGGUAGUGGGGGAUAACGUCCGGAAACGGGCCCUCAUACCGCAUACUCUCAGUUGAGCCUAGGUCGGAUUAGCUAGUUGGUGGGGUAAGGGCUUACCAGGGCGACGAUCCGUAACUGGUCUGAGAGGAUGAUCAGUCACACUGGGACUGAGACACGGGCCAGACUCCGACGGGAGGCAGCAGUGGGGAAUAUUGGACAAUGGGCGAAAGCCUGAUCCAGCCAUGCCGCGUGUGUGAAGAAGGUCUUCGGAUUGUAAAGCACUUUAAGUUGGGAGGCGUUACCAACAGAAUAAGCACCGGCUAACUUCGUGCCAGCAGCCGCGGUAAUUC